CCUACGGGUGGCUGCAGUAGGGAAUCUUCCGCAAUGGACGAAAGUCUGACGGAGCAACGCCGCGUGAGUGAAGAAGGUUUUCGGAUCGUAAAACUCUGUUGUUAGGGAAGAACAAGUGCCGUUCAAAUAGGGCGGCACCUUGACGGUACCUAACCAGAAAGCCCCGGCUAACUACGUGCCAGCAGCCGCGGUAAUACGUAGGGGGCAAGCGUUGUCCGGAAUUAUUGGGCGUAAAGCGCGCGCAGGCGGUCUUUUAAGUCUGAUGUGAAAGCCCACGGCUUAACCGUGGAGGGCCAUUGGAAACUGGAGGACUUGAGUACAGAAGAGGAGAGUGGAAUUCCACGUGUAGCGGUGAAAUGCGUAGAGAUGUGGAGGAACACCAGUGGCGAAGGCGACUCUCUGGUCUGUAACUGACGCUGAGGUGCGAAAGCGUGGGUAGCGAACAGGAUUAGAUACCCUUGUAGUC
rnacentral:rRNA from 1 species